rnacentral:rRNA from 1 species
UCCAGACUCCUACGGAGGCAGCAGUGGGGAAUAUUGGACAAUGGGGGAAACCCUGAUCCAGCGACGCCGCGUGAGUGAAGAAGUAUUUUGGUACGUAAAGCUCUAUCAGCAGGAAAGAAAAUGACGGUACCUGACUAAGAAGCCCCGGCUAACUACGUGCCAGCAGCCGCGGUAAUACGUAGGGGGCAAGCGUUAUCCGGAUUUACUGGGUGUAAAGGGAGCGUAGACGGCAGCGCAAGUCUGGAGUGAAAUGCCGGGGCCCAACCCCGGAACUGCUCUGGAAACUGUGAAGCUGGAGUGCAGGAGAGGUAAGCGGAAUUCCUGGUGUAGCGGUGAAAUGCGUAGAUAUCAGGAGGAACACCGGCGGCGAAGGCGGCUUACUGGACUGUAACUGAUGUUGAGGCUCGAAGGCGUGGGGAGCAAACAGGAUUAGAUACCCCUGUA